AUGUUUGUUGCAUGUGCAUGUGUAAAUGUGUUUCAUUUUUAGGUGUGGUUCAUGUGUGUUGAAUGUGCAUGUGUAGAUGUGGUCCAUGUGUUGUAUGCAGACGUGUAUAUAUGCGUGUAGGUGUGGUGCAUGUGUUGUACAUAUUCAGGUGUGUGUAAGUGGGGGUGGGUAGGUGUGGUGCAUGUGUUGUACAUAUGCAUGUGAGUGUAAGUAGGGGGUGGUGUUAGGUGUGGUGCAUAUGCAUGUGUGUGUAAGUGGAGGAGUUAUGCAUGUGUUGUUUAUAUGCAUGUGGUAGGGGGUAGGUGUGGUGCUUGUGUUGUACAUUUGUAGGUGUGUGUGUGGGUUAGGGUGGAAAGUUAGGUGUGGUGCAUUUGUAUGCGGUAGGGGUUAGGUGUGAUGCAUAUCUUGUACAUAUACCGGAUUGCAUAUGUGGGGGUUAGAUUGUGUGUGUGUGUGUGUGGGAAUUAUGUGUGGUGAAUAUGUUGUACAUAUGUUUGGGGGUUAGAUGUGGAGCAUGUGUUGUACAUAUGCCGGUGUGCUUGUGUGUGUGUGUGUGCGUGUGGUGAAUAUGUUGUACAUAUGUUUGGGGGUUAGGUGUGGUGCAUGUGUAGGUGUGGUUCAUGUGUGUUGCAUGUGUUAGUGUGUGUUUCAUGUGUAGAUGUGGUCCAUGAGUUGUAUGCAGACGUGUGUAUGUGCGUGUAGGUUCGGUGCAUGUGUGUUGCAUGUGCAUGUGUAAGUGUGUUUCAUUUUUAGGUGUGGUUCAUGUGUGUUGAUUGUGCAUGUGUAGGUGUGGUUCAUGUUGCAUGUGUGUAGGUGUGGUUUAUGUGUGUUGCAUGUGCAUGUGUAGGUGUGGUGGUGGCUAUUCAGGACCGGACAAGAACCUAUCUGUUCCCUCCCAAAUGCAAUUAAUCCUAUCCGUACAUGUAUCCCCUAACCCUAACCCAUCACUAACUUAUAUUUUGAAGUGCACAUCUUAUCUUUAAGAUCUCCCUCAUCAUUGGUAUUAUUAAUUUAUUUCAUGAAUAUGUUAAAUACUAUGAUAGAGUGAAGCAUAAUUUUAUAAACUGUUUAUUUGUAACCAUGAAACAUAACUCUGCCCUAUUAAGGAUUCGUACUCGUGACCCUAGAAU